rnacentral:rRNA from 1 species
UACGUAGGGCGCAAGCGUUGUCCGGAUUUAUUGGGCGUAAAGAGCUCGUAGGCGGCUUGUCACGUCGGAUGUGAAAGCCCGGGGCUUAACCCCGGGUCUGCAUUCGAUACGGGCUAGCUAGAGUGUGGUAGGGGAGAUCGGAAUUCCUGGUGUAGCGGUGAAAUGCGCAGAUAUCAGGAGGAACACCGGUGGCGAAGGCGGUUCUCUGGGCAUUACCUGACGCUGAGGAGCGAAAGUGUGGGGAGCGAACAGG